rnacentral:rRNA from 1 species
UAGGGAAUCUUCCGCAAUGGACGCAAGUCUGACGGAGCAACGCCGCGUGAGUGAAGAAGGAUUUCGGUUCGUAAAACUCUGUUGUUAGAGAAGAACAGCGCAUAGAGUAACUGUUAUGCGUGUGACGGUAUCUAACCAGAAAGCCACGGCUAACUACGUGCCAGCAGCCGCGGUAAUACGUAGGUCCCGAGCGUUGUCCGGAUUUAUUGGGCGUAAAGCGAGCGCAGGCGGUUAGAUAAGUCUGAAGUUAAAGGCAGUGGCUCAACCAUUGUAGGCUUUGGAAACUGUUUAACUGGAGUGCAGAAGGGGAGAGUGGAAUUCCAUGUGUAGCGGUGAAAUGCGUAGAUAUAUGGAGGAACACCGGUGGCGAAAGCGGCUCUCUGGUCUGUAACUGACGCUGAGGCUCGAAAGCGUGGGGAGCGAACAGG